UUGUAGCAGGUAUCUUUUCCAGCUGCACUGAUGCGUCGCCAAAUGUUUACCCUAGGCCCAUAGCUGUUGCACGCUCUCUCGUUGCUGCACUUAGCUAUGCAAUUUUCUGAGCCACCGCCUGUAGAGUGGUGCUCUCCCUCUCCCUCUCUCAAGCUCCGAUUCUGGCUGUGUGCUCCGUAGCCUCUCUCUCUGUUUGGCAUACAAAAUGCACCUAAUUUUGGGCCUAACGACAACUUGUCGCUUGUCAUGGUCUCCCGGUCUGAUCUAUGUUGCUGUUGCAUUCGUUGUUGCUGUUGCUGUUGCUGCUGGUGGCAUGCCUCAUCAUCAUUUGCAACUGCUGGCGGCAGCAGCUGCCUCACUUGGGGAUCAACUGUUCAACUGUGCUUUAUCUGUACAGCUUUUAGCUGCGCCUCGUAAUCGCAGCUCAUAGAUCAAAAAGCGCCAGAGAACAACAGAAGAGCGAGACGUGUGGCUGCAUCUCUUUUCCUUAUGUGAACCAGGUCCAGUUCCCAUCAGGCACUCGAGAGGCAGUCCAGUCAGGCAGGGGUUGAUCACAUUCCAACGCACAGCUGCUGUCGUUCCAGCCAGUGCUGUGGCCAGUGCCCACCCACGCCAAUGGACAAAAAAAAAAAAAAAAGAAAACCAAACCGAGUUUGGGCCACGUUUUCCCACUGACCAAAUGACAGGAUUGCGGCCAUUCCCACAGUCCAUGCAACAUUUUCCAGCCAAUUCCGGCAAAUGCAAAUUAGCCAUCUCAUUUUCGCUCUGAUUAAAGGUAAUUUUCAAAUUUCCCCAACAACCCUCUGCGACACCGGGAACGGACAGCAACAACAGCAGGCCAGGCGGCAACUUUGGCACUGCCGGCAAUUUCGAUCUCGCCUGUCGUCCAUUUAAUGAUUUCAAAUCGGAGCAGCAGGCCCAGACCCAGACCCAGGCCCAGGCCCAGGCCCAGGCCCAAAACCAGAAACUUGUUGGAUGUCUGGUGGUGCACCAUGUUGCGCGACCGGACCGGACAAUGUCUAGGGGCCAUUCCUGUGUCUCUCUGGUUCCAGCUGUGGCCGCGGGAAAUAGGAAAAUUGCCGAAACUAAAACCAAAACGCGUGCGCAUUGAAUUAUGCAAAAAUUUUAACCAUUUGCCGCCAAUCAAUUUGUAUUGCCUACCAUCUGUGGGAUUUUCCCCGACAAACCAGCAUAAUAUUAGAACAAUGGAUGUGAUUGGUUGGCCCCUAAAUAUGCCAUUACAUAUCGGACAUCUUUAUCCUUAACUUACUUGGUAGCACGUGUAUAAUCGCGUGUGUCUCCAUUGCCGAUCUCAAACAUGAUUUUUAACGACAAAUUUACGCGCUUAAUCUCGACAACAAAAUAUGCAAAUGUGAGCGGGACGAGGCGGCGGCUCGAGUAGGAGGAUAAGCCAAGGAAAGGGUAAAGGAAAGAAAGAAGUUGUUUUUUUAACGAUUCGCCAUGUUCAUUAGUGCCGACACUUGAGUACACACUCAUACGAAGAGCCAGAGGACCCCCGACCAACAGACAACCGACUCUUUAAUGUUUAAGUGCGUUUCAUUAAUUGAAAUGGUCAAUUUGUAGUCGGAGAUAAGAGAGGAAGUUGCUGGCAGAAGUAGAAGCAGAAGCUGCAAGUGGCAGAUGCUGUUGAGGCAGUGGCAGUGGCAGUGGCAGUCCAUCCUCGGCUGUGGCUGUGGCUGUUAGGUUGCAUUGAUAUUUCCACGGAGGAGGAGUCGAUCGGCUUGCCGUUGCCCUAUAUGGUAAGAUUGUAAGAGGAGUUUGAUAGUUCUCUGGUUUGUGGCGCCAGCAGACUUCCAUUCAUCAGGCGGCGGUGACAGCGGCAUCUCGAAUGCAUAUUAAUAGGAAUUCCAUCCAGAACGAACUGGGAAUACUCUCCUAUGGAAUGUUGAUUGAUGAAUGUGUAUAAAAGAAAUAAUUAAAUAUGAAUUAAAUUAACGGCAGUCGAAAUUCUCUGUUAUCGAUACAUUGAUUGUCAUUCUUGGCCACAUCCGUUACAAACCUUAUGGAAAAGCUCAGUAAAUUAAAAUCUGUGAAGAGCAUGACACACAUGGGACCCAAGAAACAACAACUGUGUACAUCCACAAGUCAUGGUCAUGGCGACAAAAACAAAAACAACACAUCGCCCAACGUCCGCUUUGAGGUCAACUCGGGGUCGGGGUCGGGGUCGCUCAUUAAGCCAGACCCAGAGCCUGGUCCAACGUAUCAACUUACCCGAGCAGGAAGCAUUCGAUGCGACGACCAUUUCCAGUUCCAGUUCCUAGGCCCCAUCACAGGCCAAUUGAUUGACAAGACGAGAGUCCACAGCAUUUGUCUGCAAGAAAAGAAUGGGGAAUGGUAAUUGACAUAAGUAUCAAUGAAUUCAGGCGAGGGUCGAUACAUUUCAAUGCUCUUUGGUUGAGACUGAUGUAACCCCAUCGAACGACCCUCGGUGGUAUCCUAUCCGCUUACCACUUACAGCUCCCAUAACGACAGGAAACGAGAGCAACAAAAACUUGCCUCAAUAAGUUGCCACAGCGUUACAUGCGGCCUUACCUUACCCCUUUUUUUUGCCAUGCCCGAUGCGAUGCCAGAUGCGUAGUCCAAAAACUGUGGACAAGAGGGUUGGGACCCUGAACUUAGCAUCCAGUUUGACUGGAACUGGAAGCAAGUUAAUUGAAUUAAGGCUGUCCGCGAGUCACCCGUCCCCCAAUCUACUGGCCGGACUACGCUCCUGCGUUGAUUUAUGUGAACAGAUCUGGUAGGGUGGUGGUGGCUGACUGGCUGGGGCUACAAUUGACAAUUGCUCGACUCGGGUCGACUCUGAUCGGUUGGUUGACUCAAUGGAAUGCAGUCGGUGGUUGCAGCUGCAACGAGGCAGAGAGACGGAGAGCCAAAGAGCCAAAGAGCCAGAGAAACAGAGAGGAGUUGUUGCCGACUGCCACAUGCCAUGCCACAAAUGAAAUGCCUGGCAUUUCGUCUAGCUAUCGGGAAAGUGUGGUACUGGUACCUCCAGUGGUAACCAGCCAGUGUUGAGUAAGUCACUUAUUAAGUGUCAUCUCCAUGUCGCCAAAGGCGCCGCCUCGCGCCAAAAUGCAAAUGAUAAACUGACAGCCUUAUGACAGCAUUAAGCAAAUUGCUCGCCAGCCGCCCAGACGAUAAGCAGACAUCGGGGAUAUCGCCAUAGGAAUGGGCUCGCUCCGAAUGGAUGCAGAUGCAGAUGUGGCAUGGGGCAUGGGGAUGUGGCAGUGGCAGGCGCACAAGUCGAGUUAACGAUUGGCUUAAUAAAAUGAAAUAUUAAAUGCGAUUAAAAACGCAAAGACGACGACAACGACAACAGCGAAGACGACAACGUGGAAGGCGACGAUGCAAUAAAUAUAUUGGGAACAGGCCAAACAGCUACUGGACUUGUGUGUGGACACCAGACGCCGGACGUAGUAGCACAAUUCCAGCUCCAACUCCAGCUCCAAUUCGAGUUUGGGCUCGGGUCGGGGUUGGGGUUGCCCCUCUCCGAAAGACAUGAUAAAAAUGUGAAAUGCAUGCGUUCAUUAAAUUAAUGCGCAUGGGGCAAGGCAAGCAGCCAUGGAGCCUGAGUCUGAGCCUGAGCAGAUAAUUAAAUGCGUGUUUGUGGCAUGGUCAGUGGGCAAUGGGGCAAGGUGCUCGUAAUGACAUUAAAUAUGUUUAAACAUGCAUAAAUAAAAGGAGGCCGGAGACCCCGAUCCCAACCCGAACAACUUUACUUUAAGCUGAUGUUUUAAUCAGGGCGAUUCUUAGACUGCAUCAGCAGCAGCCAUAACAGCAGGAGAGAGACGAGACGAGACUCGAUCCCGACCCAUUGGGGCCUAAGCUUGUUGCAACAACUGGUUGAAUUAAUGACGCAACACGAGC
rnacentral:sRNA from 1 species